rnacentral:rRNA from 1 species
AUUGAACGCUGGCGGAAUGCUUUACACAUGCAAGUCGAGCGGCAGCGCGGGGCAACCUGGCGGCGAGCGGCGAACGGGUGAGUAAUACAUCGGAACGUGCCCAGACGUGGGGGAUAACUACUCGAAAGAGUGGCUAAUACCGCAUACGAUCUACGGAUGAAAGCGGGGGAUCGCAAGACCUCGCGCGUCUGGAGCGGCUGAUGGCAGAUUAGGUAGUUGGUGGGAUAAAAGCCUACCAAGCCAACGAUCUGUAGCUGGUCUGAGAGGAUGAUCAGCCACACUGGGACUGAGACACGGCCCAGACUCCUACGGGAGGCAGCAGUGGGGAAUUUUGGACAAUGGGCGAAAGCCUGAUCCAGCCAUUCCGCGUGCAGGAUGAAGGCCCUCGGGUUGUAAACUGCUUUUGUACAGAACGAAAAAGCUCUGGUUAAUACCUAGAGUCCAUGACGGUACUGUAAGAAUAAGCACCGGCUAACUACGUG